GAGAUCCUACGGGGCGCAGCAGUGGGGAAUAUUGCACAAUGGGCGAAAGCCUGAUGCAGCCAUGCCGCGUGUAUGAAGAAGGCCUUCGGGUUGUAAAGUACUUCCAGCGAGGAGGAAGGCAUUGUGGCUAAUAACCGCAGUGAUUGACGUUACUCGCAGAAGAAGCACCGGCUAACUCCGUGCCAGCAGCCGCGGUAAUACGGAGGGUGCAAGCGUUAAUCGGAAUUACUGGGCGUAAAGCGCACGCAGGCGGUCUGUUAAGUCAGAUGUGAAAUCCCCGGGCUUAACCUGGGAACUGCAU
rnacentral:rRNA from 1 species